AUGACGAUCCUCUGUUGGUACUGUCGGGGAUUGGGCCACCCCGGAACAGUUCGAGAACUGGUGUGCCUAGUGCGCACAUACUGCCCCACUAUCGUGUUCAUCUCAGAGACGCGGCAGUGCGAAGAGAGCGUGAAAAGAAUAAGAGAAAGAAUAGGCCUCAAACAUUGUAUCACCCAUGAUGGGUUGGGCAAAGGUGCCGGCAUCGCCCUGUUUUGGGACGAUAGU
rnacentral:rRNA from 1 species